AACACAAUGCCAAAUUGACCCUAAGUGUAAUGGUCAUGACAGGUAAUAUCUUCGUAUGGAAAGUAGAAAAAUGAUUCAAAUUCCAUUCUCAAUAAAUAAUUUACUGUACAUACAAUAUAUCAAUAAUCAGAGUGUCUAAAAUAGCCAUUGAUUGAAAAAAUAUAUAUACUUUUAGACAUACUACAUUAUUAGACACAGGAAUCCAUUUUUCUUUGAUAGUAUUGCAAUAAAAAUAAUUAAAAUUGGCUAUUAAACUAAAAACUUAAGAAACUGAUUUCAAAAUUGUUUGUUGCAAACAUAUAAAAAGAAGUUGCAAACAUAUAAAAAGAAAUUGCAAAGUUGUAAAAUUAAAAGAUACACUUUGAAAUAAUUUGUAUGUUACACUGAAAGUAAUAACCAAUUAUUUCUCCCAAAAAAAAAAAAAAA
rnacentral:misc_RNA from 1 species